GGCCCAAACCCGCCAGGUCCUUGAACAGACCACACUACCCCUUCUUUAACCACCCCAAAUAACCAAACUACCCUUAAAUGAAUAUAAGCAACUAGGUUUUCAGUUUUCCUCAGCAGCCGCAUAGUCAUUCAUCUUCCUCCCUUCCAUUUUGAGCAAAUGACAAAGCUCCAUCAACUAUGGACAAAAGUUGCCCCGCCAUUUUCAUACAAGUUUCUCCUCAUUUAAAGCCAUCUCCUUCACGUGAAACGGAAAAAAUAAAAAGGCUUUCCCCUUUCUACCACUUUCUCUCGUUCUUUCUAUUGCAACAGAUUGGUUGCACCAUUUUGGUGAAACUAACGUCCACCAACAAAGCUGCCCCUUUGCUGCCAUCCGUGACUCCUUAGGUUACAAUUUUGAAUUUUAGAGUUUGAGGAACCCUACAUUUUUCUUCCAUAAAUACUCUCUUAUACUCUUAGCCGCGGGGGAAGGAGAAAAGAGGGAGCCGCCACUCAAUACUUGUUUGUGAUACGCAAGUGUUCGUUUACAAAGCUUUCGAGCUUUCUUUUUUCAAUCUGGUCUUGAACCUUUAAAUAAGAAAACACUUUUGUUGAAAUACGAUAUCUGUGGUGAAAGGUUAAGGUUUCGACGACUCGAUCAACUCUCAUCGCUGCUUGGCCAAAAGAACUUUAACCACAACAGAGGUAUUCUAAUUUUUCCAACUCGAGUUUCGAAUCUGUUUCAUGACGAGAGAGUAGAUUCGAGACCGUCGACGUCCCAUUCGCUGCACCCACAAGAGAGCCGAAGAGUUUCAUUUGAGACUCAACGACACCUCUUACGAAGUCAGCACGACACUCAUCAUCAACUCCCUCUUACAUUGCCUAAGCGGCAUUUUGCAGAGCAUUCCUAUCGCAUGUGAAAGUCGAAAAUGGCUUUCAUUAUUUUACGAUACCAUCUUUGUCUAUCUGUUGGUGUGGUUAUUUUUCUCGUAUGACCAACCUUUAUUCCGUGUUUUAUGUAACCGACUAUUAAGACCUGAGUCACUACAUAGUUCA